rnacentral:rRNA from 1 species
UACGUAGGAGGCGAGCGUUGUCCGGAUUUACUGGGCGUAAAGCGCGCGCAGGCGGCACUUUAAGUCAGGGGUGAAAUCCUGGAGCUCAACUCCAGAACUGCCUUUGAUACUGAGAAGCUGGAGUCCGGGAGAGGUGAGUGGAACUGCGAGUGUAGAGGUGAAAUUCGUAGAUAUUGCGUAGAACACCAGUGGCGAAGGCGGCCACCUGGGAGACUACUGACGCUAAGACGCGAAAGCAUGGGGAGCAAACAGG